AUCGCUUCUCGGCCUUUUGGCUAAGAUCAAGUGUAGAAUUACAUUUUAAGAUGAACAUUGCUUUUUAAAAUUUAUUUAUUUAUU
rnacentral:sRNA from 1 species